UCAUUGAGCCUUCCUGAUGAGUACUCUCUGUUAUUCCAAUUCAAAGAGAACAUUUCAAUUAACAAUUCUGCAUCCUUUGAUUCUCAUGCUUAUCCAAAGGUUUCUUCAUGGAACCUCAACAGAUCAGAUGGUGCAGGAAAUUGCUGCUUAUGGGAUGGGGUCGAGUGCAAGUCCGGUAAUGUGAUUGGGCUCGACUUGAGCAACAGCUUUCUCUAUGGCCCCAUCUCCUCCAACAAUAGUCUCUUCAACCUCAUUCACCUUCGCACACUAAACCUUGCAGAUAACGAUUUUUGUUCAUCUCAAAUUCCAUCUAAAAUAGGACGAGUCUCGCUGUUAGCAAAUCUGAAUCUGUCACGUUCUCUCUUCAGUAGGGAGAUCCCAAAACAAAUCUCACAGCUCAGAAAUUUGGCUUCCUUGGAUCUAACAGGAAACGGGUACCACGCUCUAAAGCUGCAAAGUUCUAACUUCCAAAAUCUAGUUCAAAAUUCAAGUGAGACUCUAAGAGAACUCUUUCUCUCAGAGGUCAACAUUGAUUGUCAACAUUGAUUCUGAACUACCAACUUCAAUCGGGAACCUCACACGCUUGAACAUCUUGAAAUUAAGUAAUUGUGGUUUAGCGGGGACUCUGCAUGCAUCUGUAGGCAACCUGACCCGGCUUACAGUUCUGGAUCUAGGUAACAAUUACUUUUCGGGACCUAUUCCAUCAGGUAUAUUUAACUUGCAAACCCUGCAACUUCUUGAUGUGCAUUGUAACUACAAGCUUACUGGCCAUAUCCCUGAGUUUCAUGGUAAUAAUGAACUAAAAACAACUGAUUGUGGCUUUUACAAAUUUUCAAGGAUCCAUACCAGCUUCAAUCUGGAAUCUCACACACUUGAAAGUAUUGGAUUUAGGUUUCAGCUCUUUCACGGGGACUCUACAUGCUUCGGUAAGCAACAUGACACAGCUUACAUUUCUGGAUCUUUCUGGUAUUGAGUUCACAGGUAGUCUUCCGUCUUUAGAAAGGUUUUCAAACCUCGCAUAUUUGUCCCUCUCCGGUAGUAGUUUUGAUAGAUGGAAACUACCUGAUUGGUUUGGUAAGUUAAAGAAGAUCACUUAUUUGAAUCUUGAAGAUGUCAACCUAUACGGUGAAAUUCCAUCAUCAUUUUUCAAUCUGACCCGAGUUGGAACGUUAGUUCUUUCCAGAAAUCAAUUAAUAGGACAACUUCCAAGCUCAUUGUUGAAUCUUCAAAAUCUGGAAUCUUUUUAUUUGGAUGGUAACAAUGCCACAGUGGACUUUUAUCUUUUUCUUUCUCUUAAGAAUCUUAACUAUCUGAAUCUACGUGGAAACAAUAUCAGACUUUCAGUCAUAGAUAGCCACAAAACCGAAACUCAAUUCAAAGUUUUAUGGCGGGCAUCCUGUAACUUGAAAGUCUUUCCUGAAUUUCUGCGGUUUCAACAUCAACUGGAGUUCUUGUACCUUGAUAACAAUAAAAUUGAGGGCUUGAUACCCGGAUGGAUGUGGAAUAUCAGCAAGGAAACACUAAUUGAACUUAGGCUUUCUCAAAAAACUUACUAAUGGGUUUUGAGCAACAUUCACUGGUUGCUCCUUGGGUUAAUUUAAUGAUACUGGACCUGAGUCACAACAUGCUGCAUGGAUCGAUCCCAUUGCCACCACCACUCACCUAUUCCUUUUCAGUCUCAAACAAUAAGCUGACCGGAGAAAUUCCACCAUCCAUAUGCAACUAGAUCUAUCUCCAGUCGCUUGAUUUGUCGUUCAACAUCAUUACUGGCUCGAUUCCUCCAUGCUUGGAGAAAUUAAGCAAUUCUAAUUUGGUAGUAUUGAAUCUUAGGAACAACGCUUUGCAAGGAACCAUCCCCAACGUAUUCACCAAUAAAAGUCAGCUUGAGAUGAUUGAUUGAAGUGCAAAUAAGUUGGAGGGGCAAGUACCUAGAUCACUGGAGAACUGUAUGUCACUCCAGUUCUUCAAUCUUGGAUAUAACUUUAUAGAGGACAUGUUCCCGGUCUGGUUGGGAGCACUUCCAGAGCUACAAGUUCUCAUACUCAGGUUCAACAAAUUUCAUGGUAUUAUAAAAGUACCAAGUAAAAUCGAAGUCAACUUCCCAAAAUUGCGCAUCAUUGACCUCUCGAAUAAUUCAUUUUCUGGUGAUUUGCCACAUCACUAUUUCCAGGCGUGGUCAGCAAUGAAGGAGACCAAGGCGAAUGUAAAAUAUAUGGAUGUAGAAAGGUUGAUAGCUUAUCAAUUCUUAUUCUCGAUUCAGAUGACUAACAAAGGUGUAAAGAUGGACUAUGAGAAGAUCAUCAACACCUUUUCUGCAGUUGAUCUCUCAAGUAACAAGUUUAGAGGAAAGAUUCCAGAGUCUAUUAAAACCCUUAGUGGUCUUAAGUUGCUCAACCUCUCGAAUAACGAACUUUCUGGCGUCAUCCCACCAUCCAUAAGGAAUCUCAUACAUCUUGAAUCAUUGGAUCUUUCAAGUAACAAGCUCUCUGGAAUGAUACCUCAAGACUUGGUACAACUGAAUUUUCUUGUCGUCUUAAAUGUAUCCAACAACCACCUCACUGGACCAAUACCAAAAGGUAGCCAGUUCAAUACCUUUUCGAACAAUUCUUACAUGGGAAUCAGGCGUUGUGUAGAUACCCUUUAUCCACGAAAUGUGGGGAUUCAAAAGCAUCAGAGCGUCCAAAAGUUUCAAUUGAAGAAGAUACCGUGACUUCCCAAACAAAAUUGAUUGGGUUGUUAUACUUAUCCCACUCGGUCAAAAGAGGAAAUGCAAAAAUAGUAUUUACACCAAGUGGUUUAUGAAAAAAUCGUUUAUCUCAAAUGUCUUUCAUAUACUUAUUUCUAGGGGUGUAUGUUAGGUACUUAAAACCAAAAUGAACCAGAACCCAGAAUUUCUGGAAAAUCGUUACCGUAGGCCGACCGACAUAGGGUGGGUUGGUCUCUGUCAUUUUGGGUUGGGUUGGUAUCAGAUUGGGCCAGGACCGUAUAUGAAUUUUUACAUUAAGAUGUUUCAUAUUUCAAUUUGUACGGGACUGGACGGAAGCCGAAUCCACCUCAAAUAAAACUAAGGACCCAACCAAAUAUGCUUUGCUUAAACGGUCCAGACCUGGGUUGGAUUAACAAGGCCGUUCCAACGUUUUUGGAGGCCCUAGACGACCUACAAAGUCAGGGCCCUAUUGAAUUGGUAUAAAGGAAUUGAGAUUGAGAUUUGAGACAUUGAAUAACCAUAGCGAUGAUUUUUCCUAAUCUUGGCCCCAAUUUCUCUCAAUCCGCAAUCAGUUUCACAUUGAUUACUCAAAAGACGCCGCAAGUAACGAGGGUUGAUGUGUUGUGUGCGUGGACAAUGCAGACUCCUAGUGUAAAUCCUAAAUCUUGGGCCUAGAAACGUUGGUUAAAUGGCAAAAAACUAGUCUAAUAUAUGAAAGGAAAUAAAAUUGGAGGCCCUUGUUUUUUGGUGGCCCUGGGCCUUAGCCUGGGUUGAUAAGCCUUACGGGCCGGCCCUCGAACCCUGCCUGAAAUUACUGAGACCGUCCUCCUCCUCCCAUACCAGCAUGGCCUUCGUGAUGAUUUUCAAGAAAUUUUGGGUUCGGGUUCGGUUUGGAUUCAACCCAAUGUACACCCCUAAAAAUAAGUUAUAUAAAGAUAUUUGAGAUAAACGAAUUGUUAUCAACCGCUUAUAUUCAAUUAUAUAUAUAUAUGGAACCCAUUAAGUGUAACCACUUUUUGAAUCAUUCUUGUCCAUUGGAUCAUGCUGAAAAUAAAUCCUGACCCUCUAAACUCCUAUUUUUAACUGCUAACAUAGCAGUUCACAGCAGUUUCAUAGUCUCCACAUUUUUCUGCCCAUGUUCUCCACAAAUCAUGUUUCCUAAUCUGGUCCACGUUCUAAUUGUUCCAACUCCCAUGUUUGCUUUAUAACCUCAUUCAAACUCCCCAAAACCACCGUUCUGCUCCUUUUCUUGUAAUGCUUUUUAAACCAUCAUCGUUGACGCUCCAAUACUCCGACAAUCCAUCCGUACUAACAACAAGAGAGCAAUCAAUCCUGCACUCACCACGUCAAUAGCAAUGGCCACCGGUUUGGUUUGGCUGGAGCUUCUUAAUGUUAUUGGCGGGCCACAAAGGGGAAGACUAACGAAUUUCUACACAUCGUACCCGUAUAAUGUUUCGAUUUGAAAUCUGGUUCGUACAACACUUGGGUUUAGUUCUUAUUUGAAGAUGCAGAGACAAAGAAUGAUUUCAGUUGUUUUUGUAUGUGAGUGAGUCACUUCCAUAGAGCACAAAGAUAUUUGAUGCUUGACGAGCAACAUUUUCUCUUGCACGCCAGGUGUUCGACAAAAUGCCAAAAAGAAAUUUAGUAUCAUGGAAGGUUAUUGCCUUCACUGGAAAUGCCCUACAGCAACAUGGAGGUUUACAAGCAAAUAAUUUGUGGGUAAGAUUCAUACACGUGAAGAUGGUGGUAAGUAUAUUGGAGAAUUUAAAGGAGGUAUUAAACAUGGGCUUGGGCCUUGCCCACUAUCAUUUCAGCUAUUAGAUCAGAACGAGGUGCAAAAUUUACUCCCAUCAACCCUUAAAGCCCAAAGUUGUGGAUUGAAAGUUGUACUGGAUGGUUUAAGAGCCGGGUGAUGGAGUAUAAGCAGAAAAUGAAGUAGAAGCUUAUGACACAACCAAGAUACUUACUUUGGAAAUUUGAUUGGCGCUUAAGAAAGUCUUCAAAUUAGCUAAUAUGAAUUUCAGAGGUGAACACCAAAACGUGGGUGAUGGAAAAGAAAGCAGAAAAUGAAGCAGAAGCGUUGAAGUGGGUGUGGAGGCUUGAGAACAUUAAUGAUACUUUCAUGGAGCACCUAUGGUACCUGACUUGGUAUACUUCAACUAUCCUUAUUUUAUCAUUAACUAUAUUUUACCAGUAGUUAAAUUUGUAUGAUUAUAAAGUCUUAACUGUAAAAAUUGAUGGGAAUGACCCAAUCUGCAUGUUAUAUAAUAUUAGUUCAGUUUUAACUCCAAAUAACGUGAUAAGUAAAUAUGUGUCAUAUCAUUCACUUAUCUCUUAAGAUAUACAAGGAUCUAUACUGAACCAUAGUUUGCGUUCUGUUACCUAUUAUAAUUGAAAAAUAGACUCAGGUCACUACUUGGGUCUGCUUAUUUAUUGGAUAUAGAAAAAUGGAUGGGAUGACUCAUUUUGGUAAUAGACUUAUUUAUUGGAUAUAGAAAAAUGGAUGGGAUGACUCAUUUUGGUAAUAGACUGGUCAAAAUGAGUGCUUCUAAUUAGAGGUAGCAACAUGUACACGCAGUUAGCUUAAAUAAUAGCGUCAAGAUGUUCGGCUUAACCGUACACGCUGCAAAAACAGGUUGGUCAAGCCAACCUGGAUAUUGCUUAACAGGCUGAGCCUACACAUGGUAUAAUAAUAUACCAGCCGGAAGCAUUCACCCAUGGAGAUAGAUGGUAAAAAUCCAUCUAGAAAGAGCACACAAAAGCUUAAUCUCUGGUUUUGUAAAUGGGAAAAUACGUUUUUGUUAAAAUGAGUGCUUUUUAUUAAAAAAUAUCCACGUCAAACUGGAAGUUUGUUUAUUCAUUUAGGGGUAAUAAACCUAGUGGUAGAUUAAAGUGAUUUGGAGAUAGAUGUAUAACUUCAUUGGCCCUUUGAGGAAGUCGAGACUUUGAGAUAAAAAGGCCAGAAGAGAUUGAGCUAGAGCCCAAUUCCAUUAAUUCACUCGAUACAGGAACAACUACACAGGUUUUAUACUUCUAUUAUCAAUUUUAAUUUCUAUCGUUUUGUGGUUGUAAACUGUUGACGUUCGUUUUCCAUUUAUAAAUUAAAGAAUGGUGCUUUUGUUUGUCACAUUGUUUAAUUUUGUGUACGCUUAACAUAUGUUAGCUUGGUUUGUCACGUUGUACGCUUAACAGGUACAUUGUUCUACUAUCCACCCAUAGUUAUUGAUGCAUUUGUUUUAAAGCUCGAGACAUCAUAAUUUUCAUUUCAUUUCAUAGUGUUUAUGAGUUUUUCUAUAACAAUCAUAAGACCAUUGGAUGCACGUGGGAUCCACAAAGUAUGGGUGCUAAACGGGUCGUGUUCACGGGUUGGCAAGUUCAACCCGACACGAACCCGAAAACUUUAGACGGACCCGAACCGACCCGAACCUGAAAAUCGUGCCAUAUAUAUGAACCUGAACCCGACCCGAAUAUUCGCAUACUGACCCGAAACCAACCCGUUCAACCCGAAUUUUUUAUUUUUUUAUUUUUUUUUUCAGCAAAUUAAUAUAUUAAUAUUAUAUAAUAAAAUUACAUUAAAAUCAUAAAAAUUUAUGUCAACUUCCAUUUUUAAGUUAUAUUUAUAGCAUAAAAUACACACCCAACUUAAUUUAUCACAAUAAACAUAUUUUAAAAAAUAUAAUAUAAUAGAAAUGAGUUAAACGGGUCAACCCGUCAACCCGACUGGGUUGAGCCGAACCUGACCUAUUUAGCUAAACGGGUUCGCAGGUUCAAACUGAAACUGACCCGAACCCGUUUAGACUAAACCCAAACCCACGAAUUUCGUGUUAGGUUCGUGUCGUGUUUUCGGGUCGUGUCAGAAAUUCACACCCCUACCACAAAGGCAAAGUUUCUUUCGCUUUCAGUUUGCCUAAAUGCAGGUGUCUCUUCACCAGAAUUUAUACUCAGAAGAGAAUUUGUAAGAGUUCUAUAAACAGAAAACAUGAACAAAAUCAGACUAGAGAGAUGGUUGUAUGAAGUUGUAGUUGAAAGGUGUUGGUGGAAAGCAAAAUCCCUAUUGAAAUCCAUAAAAAUGCACAUCCACAGUGCCAUCACUAAGGAGAAAGAUAUGCCUUGGUGUUAGCUUCCAACACCAGGAUUUAUUCAGGAGAUAAUUUUUAAAGAUGGAUUCGACAAAUCAUGGGAUUCUUCAAGGGAAAUGGUAAGCAGCUCUUGUGAAAGUAUAAAAAUUUUUAUAAAAUUGUCACUUAUGUCAUGAAAACUUUGAUUUAGUUUCACAGGUUGAAUCUGCAUUUGAGUCUGCAAAAAUUUUUAUAAAAUUGUCACUUAUGUCACUACCACAAUUUUGAAUUUUCCUGUGAAAGUAAGCAAUCCCGUAAUGAUGGUUCAAGCAUAUCAUCUUCUUGUGGCUAAAAUGUAUGUUUAGUGUAGGGAUUGUGCCAAUAUAUAUAUUAAGCCCAAGCAGCCUAACCGUCAUUGAUAUCAAUCCCCACCGUUAGAUAUUGCUGAAACUAAAUCCUGACCGUUUAAACUCCACUUUUUAACUGUUGUUGUGGCAGUUGUGGGCGGUUUAUUUCUCAUCGUCGGUUAACCCACUCUCCUUUUUCUCAUCCUAAAUCCUUGCUACCACAACCGCACCUCCCGUAGGUUCUUUAAUGGUUCGUCCCCAAACCUUCCAUUCUCAUUCUUAGAUUUACAUUCUUCAACUGUUCACCCAAACCCUGCAGCGAUUCAAAGUUCAUCCAACUUUACAAUCCCUUCUGCCUUAUUUCUUAUACUCUUUAUCUUUUUAUAUUUCUGGGAAAUUAGUGUGGAUCAAGCAAGCAUGAAUUCAGUUGCAAAAGUAUUGAAGGUUAGUUGUCUAUUAAGUACGUUGUUUAGAGGAUUACCUUUAUUAUUUUCAAUGUCUUUUUUAUCAUAUUAUUUGUAACCUUGAAGCCUCCUACAUAUGGAAUUUAAUGUAAUUGAUUCCCUUGAUGCUUGGUUAUUUUGCAGGUUUGACCCGACCGGGUCUUUAAGUACAUCUUACAAGUUAUCAUAAUCCGGUGGAUGGGUUACGCUAACAGCGUAACAAUGCUCCACCCGUGUCAUCCACUCCACCGGUAUCCAUUUUUAGGACAUCCACACCGCUUACUACCACAAAUCACCGUCGCUCUUCCCAAACCUGUGUCACCUACAAACCAACUCUACUUUUCUUAGACUAUACGGAGGGGGGGGGGGGCAUGAAAGAGUUGCGUUAUUCGACAUGUGACUUGCACGUCAGCACAUGUAAGAAAAAAGUGGCGUGGUGCAAAAAAGGGAGGAGCGGGAGCGGCGUGGUUAGUGGCAUUUUUAUAAAAAAAAAACUAAUAAUAAAUAUCAACCAAAACACAUCCGAUAUCCACCCACCAAUCAAGAGCCCCCACCUCACAACCCAAAUACACACUACGCCGGUGGAAAACUCCACGCCCUCACUACCACGCCACCACAGGAGGUGGUGUUCUCGGUUAAAAGGGCCACUACGCCACUAUUCCACGCCCACACCACGUGGUCUCAAGAAUUAAAUAUCCUCAUAUUACUCUUGAAACACUGAAAAGUUGAUUGCACAUCAAAAGUUAAAGGUCAAAAACUAAUUGACAUAAUUAAUUGUAAUAAAAAUCAGUUUUAAUCCGUA